rnacentral:rRNA from 1 species
CGUCUAUAUACGUAUAGCAUAUCAAUAAGCGGAGGAAAAGAAACUAACAAGGAUUCCCUUAGUAACGGCGAGUGAAGCGGGAAGAGCUCAAAUUUGAAAUCUUCAAGGUUUUACCUUGACGAAUUGUAGUUUAAAGAAGUGUUUUCUGUUAGAGUUUGAGUAGCAAAGUUCUUUGGAAUAGGACAUCAUAGAGGGUGAGAAUCCCGUAUUUGACCAUUAUUUUCUAGCUGUGUGAUACACUUUCAAAGAGUCGGAUUGUUUGGGAAUGCAGUCCAAAAUGGGUGGUAAAUUUCAUCUAAAGCUAAAUAUUGGCGAGAGACCGAUAGCGAACAAGUACCGUGAGGGAAAGAUGAAAAGAACUUUGAAAAGAGAGUUAAACAGUACGUGAAAUUGUCAAAAGGGAAGCGUUUGACACCAGUGUUGUUUUUCCGAAAAUCAAUUAAGAGUGGCUUGAUUUUGUGUUGUAUUGACCUUAUCAGCUUUCUUCACUCUUUUUCGAGUCUUUCUUAAUGCACUUUUCGGUUAACAAGUCAACAUCAAUUUCUUUUGUUGUAAAAGGGUAUUUGGAAGGUGGCUUUCUUUUCGGAGAAAGUGUUUAUAGCCUUAUACCUCUACAAUCGGAGAGAUUGAGGUCUGCAGCGUAGAUCCUUCGGGGCUAGAUACACUUGUGCUAAGUUAUAGCUUUUCAUAGACAACUUGUUGACUAUGUUUAGUCAUGUAGCUUACCCGCUUGUGCUAUUUUACCUACGCUUAGGAUGUUGAGUCAUCACACAUCUC